AGUUUCUUUGGAUCAGAAAUUUGGGGGGCAGUUCAACUAGUUCUGGGUCUUUGGUGAGGCUGCAGUCACAUGAAGGCCUAACUGGGGCUGGAAGAUUUGCUUCCAAGCUGGCUGUUAACAAAGGACUGGCAAGGGCAAUUGAAGGGGCCAAGGAGGAAGUUGACUAUGCCUUCUAUGAUCUCGCCUCGAAAAUCACACACCACAUCCCUCUCCAGCAUGAAAAACUGAUGCUACAAAAGGCUAGGCAAAAUGGAAUGUACGUGCUUCUGAGCUCAGCCCAAAGGGCCCUCCUCUACUGAAAGGCUCACUUCCCAGGAGAGAGGAUGCUACAAUGUGAAGGUUGUUACACUCAAGGUUUUCUCUCCAAGCCUCACCUCCUCUAUUAAAUCUGUCCCCCUACUCUUUAGGUAGAACUGACCUGCUGUCUGCCCUGAAUACACAUACCACAGAUGGAUUCUCUCUUGAUACCUCGAGUGCCACAAUGCCCUGCUAACUUACCUGCUUCCUCCUCCAGCCCCAAACCUCCCCGAGGGUAGACGCUGUG